rnacentral:rRNA from 1 species
UCAGGAUGAACGCUAGCUACAGGCUUAACACAUGCAAGUCGAGGGGCAGCAUUGGAGUAGCAAUACUUCAGAUGGCGACCGGCGCACGGGUGAGUAACACGUAUCCAACCUGCCGCUUACUCGGGGAUAGCCUUUCGAAAGAAAGAUUAAUACCCGAUGGUAUAAAGAGUUCGCAUGUUCUCUUUAUUAAAGAAUUUCGGUAAGCGAUGGGGAUGCGUUCCAUUAGAUUGUUGGCGGGGUAACGGCCCACCAAGUCUACGAUGGAUAGGGGUUCUGAGAGGAAGGUCCCCCACAUUGGAACUGAGACACGGUCCAAACUCCUACGGGAGGCAGCAGUGAGGAAUAUUGGUCAAUGGACGAGAGUCUGAACCAGCCAAAAGUAGCGUGAAGGAUGACUGCCCUAUGGGUUGUAAACUUCUUUUAUAAGGGAAUAAAGUGAGGGACGUGUCCCUUUUUGUAUGUACCUUAUGAAUAAGGAUCGGCUAACUCCGUGCCAGCCGCCGC